rnacentral:rRNA from 1 species
AUGGUAUAUCUUCACAAAUUCUUCAAAAAGACCUCAUACAAACUCCUCACUAACAAGAAACCCAAUGUGAGUUAUUUCAAAGUCUUCGGUGCUAAAUGUUGGAUUAGAGAUCCUCAUCACAAUUCUAAAUUUGCACCGAAAGCACAUGAAGGUUUUAUGCUUGGUUACGGAAAGGACUCGCACACCUACAGAGUCUUCAACACCGUUCAUCACAAGGUUGUUGAAACUGUAGAUGUGCGAUUUGAUGAAACUAAUUGCUCGCAAAGAGAGCACUUACCUCCUGUGUUAGAUGAAAAGUCACCUGAGGAAACCACCAAGUUCAAGGCUACUGAGGAUGUCAUACCUACUGAAGAAUCUGCUGAAGAAGUCAUUCCAGAACAUGAAGAACAACAAGCUGGGACACCUGAAGAAAAUGGCUCUGAAGAAAAUGUUGAGCCAACUCAACAUCGCCAACCCGCUCAUCCUCGCGUUGCAAAUGAAGUGCAGAUCGAGAAAAUCAUCAACGACAUCAAUGCACCAGGUCCUCUCACACGCUCAAAGGCUUUACAUUUAUCUAGCUUUUGUGGCACUUUGCUUUUGUCUCGAUCACAGAGCCCACCAAAGUAG